AUUCUUUAUGGCCUUGCUGUGAUUUGCUCCUUCUACCGGAUCCCUAUGGGUCACUGAGUAGGUGCUGGGCCACUCAAGGGGCUGUGGGAAGACUGAUGAGAGGCAUUGCUCAGCCUCUCAGAGCAAAGUGGAGCUACAGGCAUGGCCAUAGGCAAGCAUGCUGUCCCCAGCCACUAAGGGACAGAGCAGCAAGCCUCAGACAGACCUGAGAAGAGGGGGCAUGAUGGGCUGAAUCGUGACCCCCAAAAGAUGUUGAAGCCCUAAUCUCCAGUACCUGUGAAUAAGAUCUUGUUUGGAAAUAGUCUUUGCAAAUGAUCAAUUUAAGAUAAGACCAUUAGGGUGGGAUCUAAUCCAAUAUUACCACUAUCCUUACAAAAAGAGGAAAUUUGGACACAGAGCCAGACACAUGGAGGGAAGAUGAUUUCAAGACAUAGGAAGAAGAUGACCACCUUCAAGCCAAGGAAUGCCCAAGGCUACCAGAAGCCAGAAAAGAGGCCAGGAACAGAUUCUUCUUCAUUGCUGUCAGAAGGAACCAACCCUGCUAGCACCUUGAUCUUGGACUUCCAGCCUCAGAAAAGAGGCCAGGAACAGAUUCUUCUUCAUUGCUGUCAGAAGGAACCAACCCUGCUAGCACCUUGAUCUUGGACUUCCAGCCUCAGAAAAGAGGCCAGGAACAGAUUCUUCUUCAUUGCUGUCAGAAGGAACCAACCCUGCUAGCACCUUGAUCUUGGACUUCCAGCCUCAGAACUGUGUGACAAUGAAUGUCCAUUAUCUGAGACACUCUCUCAGUGUCCUUUGUCACAGCAACCCCAGGGAACUCAUACAGGAGGCAAGUGGCUUCCCCCACCAUAGCUCUGUGGUCUCCUGGGUGGGACCUGCUGUGUUGCUCUCAGAGGCUGCUUAAAAACAGCUGGCCCUGGGCCACUCUGCUGGGGCUCCUGCUUGAAGGAAGGACAGAACUUCAGGUGUAUUUAUAUGAAAUAUACAAUUACUAUACCCUCUCCAAGAAAGCACUUAAUAGAUGACCACUCCAGAAAAAGUGAGGUUUGUCCUGUGCUUUGUCCAGAUUCCUCUUUCUGUCUGUUAGUGAUGGUCACUGAAUUCGCCCCAGAGAUUAGAAUUUCCUGGAAUGUUUGCUAAAAUGAAGACUCCCAGAGGCCUCCACAGAUCUACAGAAUAAGAAUCUCUCAUGAUGGGACUCAGAAAUCUCCAAUCAAUCAUCCACCCUCCUCCUCCCUACCCCAGGAUACUGAUGCAGACAGCCUGGCCACCCCUUUUGGAGAAACACGAUUGCAGAUGACUGAUUAAAUUGUAUGGCUUUACCUCUCUUAUAUAUGCAUUUUGGGAAGCAAUACAAUUUCUGCAGGUUAAAGCCAAAGGAAUGAUGAUCUAGCUGUGAAAUGUUAGACUUCGUUGAGUUGGGUGGUGGAGACACCUCCUCAACUAGCUCUUCAGCCUAGGCUGGGCUCGUUCCUCCAGUAAAUGCAUGAUUGUUCUCAGCAGUGCUUUACAGGAUGAGAGAGAUGACAUGAGUUUCUCUUGUUCAGAGAGCAUGAAUUCAAGCACAAAACGGGGGUGAGUUUCCAGGAGGUGAAGAGCUGGAGACCAAGCAUUGUCCUACUUUGCAGCAGAGGACAGACCACCCCUUUAUCUCUGGGCACUGAUUCAUACAGUACCCCUGCAUGACCUCUCCAUUGCAAUAUGGCUAGAUGGUAUGCUGCCACAUUGGCCUGAAGUUUACAGCAAUGUCAGCACUGCCACUGCGAUCUAGGACUGAUCCUUCGACAAAAUUAGAAUCUCCCAAGAAGGUGUGGAGAGGGAGCCAACUACCACUGAAUAACAUGAGAGGCGUCACACAGGAUUAGAGAACACAGAGAAGCACACAGAGAAGGCCAUGGGAAGAUGGAGACAGAGAAUGGAGGGGUGCAGCCACAAGCCAAGGAAUGACAGGAUUGCUCACAGCAACCAGAAGCUGGAAGGAGCAAAGAAAAACCUUUUCCUAGAGACUUCAGAGGGAGUAUGGCCCGGCCGGCACCUUGAUUUGGGACUUUAGGUCUAGAGGACUAUAAAAUAAUAAAUUUCAGUUGUCUUAAGCUACCAGGUUUAUGGCUAUUUAAAGAGAGAGCUUUUCACGGAAGCCAGCAGAGAACAUAGGUGCCAGAAGCUCUUUAGACUCAGAGUGUGUUCAGGCAUCAUACUGGCCAGAAAGAAGACUGCAGGAGGAACAGAAGGAUUGAAGGACUUGAUUGGAGAAGGACAUCCACAAGUAAUACGUUCUCCAUAUUCCCUGAAAUGUCCUGGAGGACACUCUCAGACAUAGGUAGACUCAAGGAAGUUAGAACUUGAAGAUGUUUUAUGAUGGUUUUACCUGCUGUGUUUUCACAUUAAGUACCCCACCAGAAAAUGAGAAGAGACCUACCAUGAGCCAUACAUAGCUUGACCACAAUGUCAGGAAGGGAUCAUGGUUGAAGAAUUUUAGCAACUCUUUGUUUUGAAAUAAGUUGAAGUUAUUAAACCCACUGACACUAAAUUUUGACAUUUCCUGACCAGAAUGCAAUGAUCAAAACUGGAAUUUAACAGUGACACAAUCCUUACCUAAUCCAUUGUCCAUAUUUAAAUUUUGUGAGUCUUCCAAAUAAUUUCAUCUGUAACUAGUUUUCUUCUGGUCCAGGGUAGAAUCCAGCAUCAUGUAUUGCAUUUGGCUCUCCCAUCCCCUGGGUCUCCUUAAUUCCAAAAUAAUUAUUCAGCCUUUUCUACGUUUUAUUGACCUUUAUAGUUUUGAAGAAUAUGGGCUGUUACCUUGUGGUAUGCCCUUCAACUUGGGGUUCUCAGCUAUUUCUUCAUGGUUAGAUUCAGGUUAUGCAUUAUUGGCAGAAAAUCAUAGAAAUAAUGUUGUGUUCUUUUCAGUGCAUCAUAUCAGGAGGUACAUGAUGUCAGCUUGUCCUAAUAUUUUUAUGUUAACUUUUAUCAUUUUAUCAUUUGAUUAAAAGGGUGUUCACUCUGUAUCUCCCUGUUAAAUUACUAUGUUCCUCUAUGCUUAGAAAUCUAGAAGAAAUUUCCCAUCAUGUGCAGAAAUACGAACUACACACAGCAGAUUUUCAACUUCUACAAGAAGAUGGCAGAAGACAUGAACAAUGAAUUGGAAAGAAUCACUUCCUUUUACCAAAAGGAGAUUCUCUUCUAUGAGGAAGAGCUCAAGAAAGCUGGGCAGCAGUUCUGCUGACUGAGAUAAAGCUCCAUGAGCUAAAACAACAAAAUGAUGGCAACAGGCAAAUCAUGGCUGAUGUGGAGUUCAAGUUCCAGCCUUUCCCAAGCAGCCCCUUUGCUCCUGCUGCUCCAGGCGCAGCUCACAGAGGAGUGGAAGUACUAGGGGCCCCCUGGGUCAUCAGGUUCCCAGCAAGGAAGAGGCAGGUGCUGUGAGGCUCAGGGAUCCAGGGGUACCUGCAGGUUUCACUCAGAGUUUAUGAUUUGUUUGUUUUCGUCCUUAAAAGUAAUUUUCAUUUAUCUUCUAGUUAAGCUACUGUUAUUUAAUUGAUGUGCAAUUUCUCUUUCUGAAGUUUUAUAGUACUAUAAUUUCUAAAAUUGUAUUUUUAAAUAUACAUUUAUUUAAAAUAGCUCUUAUGAAUACAUUAUUUCAAAAUCAUUGGACCCUCUAAAAUUAUAUGCAUAAGUAUUAUAUUUUGAUUUAAAUAACAGGUCCACUAUGAUUUAAACUGUCAUCAAAAUUGGACAUGAAUAGAAACAUGGAAAACAAUAAAGUUCACUUCUGUAAGCUAUUAUUA
rnacentral:lncRNA from 1 species